ACCAUUUUCUUUUGGUGUUUAG
rnacentral:miRNA from 1 species